rnacentral:rRNA from 1 species
AACGCUAGCUACAGGCUUAACACAUGCAAGUCGAGGGGAAACGAUAUUGGAAGCUUGCUUCCGAUAGGCGUCGACCGGCGCACGGGUGAGUAACGCGUAUCCAACCUGCCCAUCACUUGGGGAUAACCUUGCGAAAGUAAGACUAAUACCCAAUGAUAUCUCUAGAAGACAUCUGAAAGAGAUUAAAGAUUUAUCGGUGAUGGAUGGGGAUGCGUCUGAUUAGCUUGUUGGCGGGGUAACGGCCCACCAAGGCGACGAUCAGUAGGGGUUCUGAGAGGAAGGUCCCCCACAUUGGAACUGAGACACGGUCCAAACUCCUACGGGAGGCAGCAGUGAGGAAUAUUGGUCAAUGGACGAGAGUCUGAACCAGCCAAGUAGCGUGCAGGAUGACGGCCCUAUGGGUUGUAAACUGCUUUUAUAAGGGAAUAAAGUUAGUCUCGUGAGACUUUUUGCAUGUACCUUAUGAAUAAGGACCGGCUAAUUCCGUGCCAGCAGCCGCGGUAAUACGGAAGGUCCGGGCGUUAUCCGGAUUUAUUGGGUUUAAAGGGAGCGCAGGCCGUGGGUUAAGCGUGUCGUGAAAUUCCGUCGCUCAACGGCGGACGUGCGGCGCGAACUGGUCCACUUGAGUACGCGGGACGUUGGCGGAAUUCGUGGUGUAGCGGUGAAAUGCUUAGAUAUCACGAAGAACUCCGAU